UACGUAGGUGGCAAGCGUUGUCCGGAAUUAUUGGGCGUAAAGCGCGCGCAGGCGGUCCUUUAAGUCUGAUGUGAAAGCCUACGGCUCAACCGUGGAGGGUCAUUGGAAACUGGGGGGACUUGAGUGCAGAAGAGGAGAGCGGAAUUCCACGUGUAGCGGUGAAAUGCGUAGAGAUGUGGAGGAACACCAGUGGCGAAGGCGGCUCUCUGGUCUGUAACUGACGCUGAGGCGCGAAAGCGUGGGGAGCGAACAGG
rnacentral:rRNA from 1 species